AGCUGUGGCCACACGCCAGUAUGACUGGACGCGAAAGCAGCUCAGUUUUGGAGCUGGCUGGAUACUUGCUGGUCUGUAAGGUGUAAGCUGACCCAUGGAAGCACGCAUUGGUUUAUUGAACAAUUAUAUAGUUACUCUGUGACCUUUUACGGUUCCUGUUGCUUAUGUGCUUGCAGUGCAGUGCAGUUGGGCACAGAACGCGACACAUCGAUAUUGCUGGUUUAGUUAAGACUCUAAGUUGCUGCUGGACAUGCUAGAAAUUGAGGUUCUGUUUGUGCAUGGUGUUUAUUGCAGAGAAUACGGAGGUAGGGUGGUGUAUCUCGUAGAUAUUCAAAAAUUGUGUCCUAUUACGGGCUCACAACUCCGCCAUAUAAAGUGGAUGCUCUGGAACCUUAUAUGAGCAGGAGAACAGUUGCACUUCAUUGGGGUAAACACCAUCGGGAUUAUGUGGAGGGCUUAAAUAAGCAGCUUGCUAGCAGCCCCCUGUAUGGAUACACUCUGG